rnacentral:rRNA from 1 species
ACUGGCGGCGCGCCUAACACAUGCAAGUCGAACGAGCGAGAGAGAGUUUACUUUUUCGAGCGAGUGGCGAACGGGUGAGUAACGCGUGAGGAACCUGCCUCAAAGAGGGGGACAACAGUUGGAAACGACUGCUAAUACCGCAUAAGCCCACGGCUCGGCAUCGAGCAGAGGGAAAAGGAGCAAUCCGCUUUGAGAUGGCCUCGCGUCCGAUUAGCUAGUUGGUGAGGUAACGGCCCACCAAGGCGACGAUCGGUAGCCGGACUGAGAGGUUGAACGGCCACAUUGGGACUGAGACACGGCCCAGACUCCUACGGGAGGCAGCAGUGGGGAAUAUUGCACAAUGGGGGAAACCCUGAUGCAGCGACGCCGCGUGGAGGAAGAAGGUCUUCGGAUUGUAAACUCCUGUUGUUGAGGAAGAUAAUGACGGUACUCAACAAGGAAGUGACGGCUAACUACGUGCCAGCAGCCGCGGUAAAACGUAGGUCACAAGCGUUGUCCGGAAUUACUGGGUGUAAAGGGAGCGCAGGCGGGAAGACAAGUUGGAAGUGAAAUCCAUGGGCUCAACCCAUGAACUGCUUUCAAAACUGUUUUUCUUGAGUAGUGCAGAGGUAGGCGGAAUUCCCGGUGUAGCGGUGGAAUGCGUAGAUAUCGGGAGGAACACCAGUGGCGAAGGCGGCCUACUGGGCACCAACUGACGCUGAGGCUCGAAAGUGUGGGUAGCAAACAGGAUUAGAUACCCUGGUAGUCCACACUGUAAACGAUGAUUACUAGGUGUUGGAGGAUUGACCCCUUCAGUGCCGCAGUUAACACAAUAAGUAAUCCACCUGGGGAGUACGACCGCAAGGUUGAAACUCAAAGGAAUUGACGG